GGUCCGGAGAGCCGGGAGCCGGACCUCUCAAGGGGGGAAGCCGCCGAGCCGCCACGCGCGGGGACUAGCUCCCUCGGGGCUCUGCGCGCCCCCUGCCGCGCGGCCAAGGGAGCAAGAGUGGGCCGUUUUCUAGAAGGCGCCAGAAGUGGAUUCCUAGGUUUCCUAAGCUGUGCUUCUUGGAGCAAGGACAGGUCCUCUGUCUCAGUGAUGUAACACGCCCCUCCCCGGCCAAUUUCACGUCCUGAGAGAUUUGGAGGAAGGAGAAGAAAAGUGACUAAAUGCAUUUCGCCCUCUUUUCAAAACCAGAACGGGCCCAGGAGUCCCCUGGUUUUACCUAUUUCCGCACUUCUCCGCUAGCCUGCUGCCACUUCUGUUCUCCGGGCUCGCCUGCUUUUGCGCACCCCCCCCCCCCCCCCACCCCACCGCCUUGAAGGGCAUUUGCUCUGAAAACGCAAGCGCUAAAAAGGAAACGAGAGCUACUGCAAAAUAUGAAGUAAAUCUUAUUUGCGUCUCCACUGCUCUGCCCUUUGGGUGUUGGCUAAAACCUUUAUUAAUUCCGCUUUGCAUUAUGCCAAGCUGGAUCUAAUUCCCCUCCUGGGUAUUAAGAUGUCCUUGUCCUUAGCAAGAUCUAGCCCAGGACCUGCAAUAGGAAAAGUGAUGUGUAUAUUUCCUGAAUGGGAAACUAAGCAAUCUACAAAUACUUAUUGAACAUCUAAGGUCUAAGGAUUCAGCACAAUAGGACAUCGUCCUGUUCUUAAGCAGAUGCACCAUAUUUUCCCCCUAUAUGUGAGAACUAAACACCUCUUGAAAUUGAAAUUCUGUUAAUUGCCUGGUUCAGUAUGUGAUUUGUGGGUUAUCUGUCUUUUGUAGCUCUUUGACUCAUCUCCAUCUUUUCUAUAAAAGAAAUAAUUUACUGAAUAGAUGAGUGAGGAGGGCGAUGUUUCCAGAUCUUUAGUCAUCCCCAAAAUUUGGUGAGACUCCCAAGACAGUGGUUAAGAGCCGAAGAAUGCAAGAAACACGUUCUCUCUUUUAUGAAACACAAUCCUCAGUGUUGCAAGAUUUCAUACUUUUGGUUGAUAAAAAUUAUUUUCCCCCAACCACAUCUCUCCAUACGUUGAACACAUGUUGACUGCAGCAACACUUUAGGUGUAAGAAACAAUCGAGUUAGUGUCAAAUGAAAACGAACCUAAUAUAAAAUAAAAACGCCCGAGCUUUUCUUAUAUUUACAAUUUCGGGAACUUUUCUCCCACCUCUCAAUCAUUACCAUGAUAAUUAUUGCAGGACCCUUAACAAAGAAUGCCUAGAGCAUCCAGACCUCACUAACCUCCAAAUCCCAAAGGGCUUCUUGGUUUCUCAACUAGAAAGAAGCCUAAGUGCAUCUUCUCCUUAAAAACUUAGGGAACACUGAAAAAUUUACAAACCGGGACAAUUAAUAGGUGACCAGGAUUGUGUGACUGUUCUUUUAUCUAGAUUUAUAAUGUGUAUUCAAAAGUAAUAAGAAAAUGUCUUGAGUAUGUUUUCAAAGAUAUAAAGAAAUCUUUAUUUUGUCUCCAGCUUCUAUCAUCUUCUCUUUAAUAAGCUUAUUUUCCAAUCAGCCAAUAGUUUUCUUUAUUCUCUUCAAUGUAGGCUUUCUUUCCCCUCUACCCCUACUCCAACCCCCACCUCCACCCACAUUUUUGCUUAAUUUUUUCUGGCUUGUUCUCAACUGCUUACUUGAGUUACUCCAUCCUUCUUUAUGCUGCCUAAAAAAUUGUCUCUAUGCUGUCUCCAAAAUUAGAAAAGUAAACCAUUUUUAACAAAAAGUCAAAUUCUCCUAAAAACUCUAUUCCUCUAUUAAUAAUUUAUAGAAUUUUGCACAACAUAAGGCCCAUCAACCACCCCGAAUCCUCAAUUUCAAAAUACAAUAAACUCUCAGAAGUAUUUUUUUUUCUUUUCAUGUAUUUGUAGCAAACUCAAGGGCACAGGGACACUUCCUCUCCACCUGCUGAAGGUUCACUGAAAAUGAACUGAGAAAAGGCAGAUUAUUUGGAGGAAAAAAUGCAUAUAAAACUUAUUUUAUGUGCAGAGGGGAAAAAAAAUCACAGGAGUGUGAUUACCCAAUAACCCAUUGAGGUCCAGAUGCUUAUAUACCCUUCUUCAUAGAAAGAGAGAUGGGAGUGUAGGAGUAAAUGAUUGCCCAGGGAAACUGGGCUCAAAGAACAAUGGCCUGAAACAAAGUUUUUCUGAGUUCUGGGGAAAGUGGUGGUAAGGUGAGGGGCAGAAUGUCACUGUGAACAAAGGUUGUCUAGUAAUGCAGAUUGGACCUCCCAGGUAAUUUCUGAACUACCCUGGAAAUAAUA